GGAGGGCUAGGAUAAUUGGUAAUCCAGCGGUCUUGAAAACCGCCGCCGUCAGGCUUGAGAGUUCGAGUCUCUCGCCCUCCG
rnacentral:tRNA from 1 species